rnacentral:lncRNA from 1 species
GGGCAAGCAUAAUACAUGAACCAUGCAUAAGGUCUUAACAUACACCGGGUCUAAACAUCAACUUGCAUCAUCUCUUACUACUACAUAGAUCAGCUUGCAGGCUCUUCCACUUCUUCAAUCCAUUUUGCACUUCUUUGUACUUCCAUCUGUUAAACAAUGCAGGUAUCAAGUAAGAACUAACUAUAUAACUCUCGCAAAAAAAAAAACUAACUAUAUAAGUUUUAUCUAUUUUCUUUGUAAUGUUUUAUCUAUUUCUCUUUAUUUUGCCAUGUACAAGUAAUACCAAGUUAAAGAAAAUUGCCGUAUUUUCUAGAAUAACAUGGCAAAAACAUUGUACAACAAAUCAAAAAAGGAUCUUCAGUGUGUACAUUAUAUGCAAAAAAUAGACAUAACUUUGCCAUGUUUAAAAAAAUCUAUAAUGAAAUUGUCAUGUGACAAAUUCCCACGAUUUUGUAAAAUAGAUGUAAAAUUGCCAUGUGAAAGAAGUAUAAAACAUUCCAAAAAUUGCCAUGGUCUAAAUAUACAAAUAACAACACAUGUCAAAUAUAGGAUUUUUUUUACCAUUAAAAAACAUGAAAUGUUUUUCAAGUUUUUUAAUUGACACGUGAAAAAAUUAGAAGAUUUGAUCUUUAACAUAGAUGGCAAAUGUAGCAAAUUGCCAGGGGCACAUGGCAAAUGUAGGACAUUUGUUCUUUGAAAAGAGCUGAAAAAAUAGUAAUUUGACAAAAUUAGGAGAAUUGUCAUGUGUUUCUCAUUCUGAGCAAGUACUUAUGCAUGCUUGCUAUGUGUUUGUUAGGGCCACAUGGCAAAAUUCAGUACAUUAACAAUAUUAAUAAUAUAAAAAUGACGAAAAUUCAACGCUUUCUUUCUAAGUACACUAACAUUGGGGACUACUAAACCCUAUGCACAAAUUUUCUACAUAAGAUGUCUAUGAAAGACUAUCUAACUAGAUUAACAUUGAGGCUUGGAGAUUGGAUAUACCUCUACUGCACCUCGGUGGAGCGUGCAUUCCUCGGAGAGCGGCGGGAGAAGGGGGGGAGAGCGAUGAGGUAGGGCCACCUCCUUUGCAUGCAGCCUCCUCCUAUGCAGAUUGAAUGACGAGGCAGCAGGGAGAGCGAUGACGCAUGUCGCUUCGCC